rnacentral:rRNA from 1 species
AUGGCUGUGCAGGCCCAGUACCCCUCCAAUCUCCUCUUCCACGAUAGAGGUGACCCGGAGAGGGCGGACAUGGACCUGCCCAAGCAGCAGCAGCAUCAGCAUCAGCAGCAGCUCGCCGGGCUCUCGCCGGCGGUCUAUUUUGCCAGUGGCGGAGCGAGUGGCAAUCGGAGGAAGCGCGCCAGGGAGGCCAUGGCGCCGCCGCCGCCGGCCAAGGAGGAGUACAUCAACCUGUUCGCGCAGCAGUCGGCGCCCUUUUUUAACAUGGCGCAGCUCCACAACAGCAGGGUCGCGUCGUCCCCGUCGCCUGCCCCGGUGACGCGCGUGUCCACGGGCCUGCGCCUGGCAUUGGACGAGCAGCAGCAGAGGCAGAUUAAUUCCUUGUGUUACCCGUCCUCGUCGUCGCCGCUCGUUCCCUUCUCCGAUGAAUUCGCCGGACAGAUGAAGCAGCAUGGCGACGAGCUCGACAAAUUCGUCCGGGACCAGGGCGAGCAGCUCCGUCGGGCCAUCGCCGAUCGGAUGCGCCACCACAACCGGGCACUUCUGGUGGCGGCGGACAAGUCGGCCUCGCGCCGGCUCCGGGAGAAGGCGUUGGAGGCGGAGCGCGAGGCGCGGCGCGGCGCCGAGCUGGAGGAGCGGCUCGCGCGGCUACGCAACGAGGCGGCGGCGUGGCAGGCGAAGGCGCUCUCGGAGCAGGCCACCGCGGUCGGCCUUCACGCGCAGCUCCAGCAGGCCGCCUCCGCGGCGCGGGCAUCCUGCGAGGAGCUCGGCGGCGGCGACGCCGGGCCGGCCGAAUCGUGCUCGUCCGCGUACGUAGACCCUCGCCGCGCCGGGCCUGACCGCGCGUGCCACGGCUGCCACCUCGGGGCGGCCACGGUGGUGCUCCUCCCGUGCAGACAUCUGAGCCUCUGCCGCGACUGCUUCGCCGCCGGCGACAUGGACGUGGCCCUGGCGUGCCCGGUGUGCCAUUGCGUGAGGACCGGCAGCGUGGAGGCCAUCCUGUGUUGA